rnacentral:rRNA from 1 species
ACUCCUACGGGAGGCAGCAGUGGGGAAUAUUGCACAAUGGGGGAAACCCUGAUGCAGCCAUGCCGCGUGUGGUGAAAAGGCCUUCGGGUUGUAAAGCACUUUCAGUAGGGAGGAAGGUAGUGUAGUUAACACCUGCAUUAUUUGACGUUACCUACAGAAGAAGCACCGGCUAACUCCGUGCCAGCCAGCNCGGUAAUACGGAGGGUGCGAGCGUUAAUCGGAAUUACUGGGCGUAAAGCGCAUGCAGGCGGCCUGUUAAGUCAGAUGUGAAAGCCCGGGGCUUAACCUCGGAAUUGCAUUUGAAACUGGCAGGCUAGAGUCUUGUAGAGGGGGUAGAAUUUUAGGUGUAGCGGUG